ACUCCUACGGGAGGCAGCAGUAGGGAAUCUUCCACAAUGGACGAAAGUCUGAUGGAGCAACGCCGCGUGAGUGAAGAAGGGUUUCGGCUCGUAAAAACUCUGUUGUUAAAAGAAGAACAUAUCUGAGAGUAACUGUUCAGGUAUUGACGGUAUUUAACCAGAAAGCCACGGCUAACUACGUGCCAGCAGCCGCGGUAAUACGUAGGUGGCAAGCGUUGUCCGGAUUUAUUGGGGCGUAAAGCGAGCGCAGGCGGUUUUUAAAGUCUGAUGUGAAAGCCUUUCGGCUCAACCGAAGAAGUGCAUCGGAAACUGGGAAACUUGAGUGCAGAAGAGGACAGUGGAACUCCAUGUGUAGCGGUGAAAUGCGUAGAUAUAUGGAAGAACACCAGUGGCGAAGGCGGCUGUCUGGUCUGUAACCUGACGCUGAGGCUCGAAAGUAUGGGUAGCAAACAGGAUUA
rnacentral:rRNA from 1 species